UGGAUUGUCUAUGUAAACCUCGUUUUUUGGUAAUAUAUAUAAACUCAUUACCACGGUCUGCCGAAUUGGGCUGAACCGCCCAGUUCGGGCAGUACCGAGUUGACCCAGUGCGAAAUCAGGUUGGUUCGCACCAAGUCGACCCGGUUAUAAAUCGGACCCUCUCUUUUGAUUUGUAUGUGCCUCUAUUUAUUGUUGGGAAGGCCCGAGAAGGCCUUCCCAACAAUAGUUGAAAGCGGCAGAGAGGUUUCUACCGCUUCUCCUUUCCAACAACUCAAAAAUUACACCGAUUCACAGGUGAGUUUUAGUUUACGCAUGCUACACAGUAUAGAGACCACGGCGCACGGUCUGGUAGAGCUCACGACGAUACGAUUGUAUAUAGGGGACAUGCUCCUCGAGGUCAUUCAGGAGGACACGAUGUAGCUGCAGAUGGCCUCGCACGUGGAAUAAAAUCUAUAUACGUAUCAGGUUUCGAGUUAUAUAUUGGAUCCUAUUAUCUGCAGCCACAGACAAUUUAUGAUUCAUAUGGAUAUGGAUAUGGUGUGUCUAAGGUAUGUUCAGUGGCUACUACCCUACGCAGCCCGGAGCAUCUU
rnacentral:lncRNA from 1 species